GACGAACGCUGGCGGCGUGCUUAACACAUGCAAGUCGAACGGUAAGGCCCUUCGGGGUACACGAGUGGCGAACGGGUGAGUAACACGUGGGUGAUCUGCCUUGCACUUCGGGAUAAGCCUGGGAAGCUGGGUCUAAUACCGGAUAGGACUCCGGACUGCAUGGUCUGGGGUGGAAAGCUUUUGCGGUGUGGGAUGGGCCCGCGGCCUAUCAGCUUGUUGGUGGGGUGAUGGCCUACCAAGGCGACGACGGGUAGCCGGCCUGAGAGGGUGACCGGCCACACUGGGACUGAGAUACGGCCCAGACUCCUACGGGAGGCAGCAGUGGGGAAUAUUGCACAAUGGGCGCAAGCCUGAUGCAGCGACGCCGCGUGAGGGAUGACGGCCUUCGGGUUGUAAACCUCUUUCAGCAUCGACGAAGCGAAAGUGACGGUAGGUGCAGAAGAAGCCCCGGCUAACUUCGUGCCAGCCGCCGCAGUAA
rnacentral:rRNA from 1 species